UACGUAGGGUGCGAGCGUUGUCCGGAAUUACUGGGCGUAAAGAGCUCGUAGGUGGUUUGUUGCGUUGUUCGUGAAAACUCACAGCUCAACUGUGGGCGUGCGGGCGUGACGGGCAGACGUGGAGUACUGCAGGGGAGACUGGAAUUCCUGGUGUAGCGGUGGAAUGCGCAGAUAUCAGGAGGAACACCGGUGGCGAAGGCGGGUCUCUGGGACGGUACUGACGCUGAGACGCGAAAGCGUGGGGAGCGAACAGG
rnacentral:rRNA from 1 species